rnacentral:rRNA from 1 species
CAGAAGAAGCGCCGGCUAACUACGUGCCAGCAGCCGCGGUAAUACGUAGGGCGCGAGCGUUGUCCGGAAUUAUUGGGCGUAAAGAGCUCGUAGGCGGCUUGUCGCGUCGGUUGUGAAAGCCCGGGGCUUAACCCCGGGUCUGCAGUCGAUACGGGCAGGCUAGAGUUCGGUAGGGGAGAUCGGAAUUCCUGGUGUAGCGGUGAAAUGCGCAGAUAUCAGGAGGAACACCGGUGGCGAAGGCGGAUCUCUGGGCCGAUACUGACGCUGAGGAGCGAAAGCGUGGGGAGCGAACAGGAUUAGAUACCCUGGUAGUCCACGCCGUAAACGGUGGGCACUAGGUGUGGGCGACAUUCCACGUCGUCCGUGCCGCAGCUAACGCAUUAAGUGCCCCGCCUGGGGAGUACGGCCGCAAGGCUAAAACUCAAAGGAAUUGACGGGGGCCCGCACAAGCGGCGGAGCAUGUGGCUUAAUUCGACGCAACGCGAAGAACCUUACCAAGGCUUGACAUACACCGGAAACGUCCAGAGAUGGGCGCCCCCUUGUG